CUUCUGGGUGACUGACUACCCAAGAAAAAGCAAGUCCAGCCCCACUAACCCCUGCCCUCCCUCUACCCCACUUCGGAGACUCCAGGCCUCACCCCCUCCUCCCCGGAGACUAUCAACAGGAAGUUAAACCGGCUGGAACACUCUGUUCCCCUUGACAUUUUUUUGUUUUAAAUCUGCAGCUGUGUUAAGGCUUCGUGAAUCCUCUCUGCAUCCUGGGUCCAUCUCUUUGCCUGUCUGGGGGUUUUCCUCCCUCAUCCAUGCACAGAAGACUGAAAAUAUGGAGAAAAUUUGGCACCAAGAACUGAGGCUAUAUAAUGGCAUGAGAGCAGGCAAAUGAGAACUACAGAAGGGUUUCCAAGAAAGGAGUCAGGUGUUGAGAAAACACCAGGGGCUGAAAUGCUGGCUGCUGGUAGGCUAAGGAUGUUGUUGGUCUGACUUAGGGAUCAUUUCUGAAGAAAGACCGUCAAGAUUGUAAGGGAACCCCACUUAAACGCUCUCCUCACUCACUCAUGGUGCUCACCCCCUAUCAGCCAUGCGUGGGUGUCUCUUCUCUCCUAACAUCCAAUGCUGCCAACGCAGCAUUCUCUGCAGCCGCCCCACUCUCUCAUACAUUCAGGAAGCAGUAGGCGCUGACGUGAACGAAGCUUCUCUCUGUCCUUUAAUCUCAACCCAGCUUGUCAGGUGAUCUGAAUAGUGAUGAUUGGUGCAUAUAACCGACCCUGGUGGCGGUUCAUUUUAACAUUGCCAAUAGUAAGGUGUUAAGAAGAUCACUUCUGUAUCAACGGAUAAUGAGAUGCAUGGCUAAGAGAGACAACAUUAGCACCAGUGGAUCUGAACCCCGUGCUCCACACACCCAAGCUCAGCUUCGAUGAAUGGGAGUUCUUCCUAAGGUGUCCCAGAACACCCAGCCCGGUGCUGGUCACAGCUGUGCUGGUCAUUUUCCAUACCCAUCCCUAACCCACUGCAUGAAGAAUGUGUGAUGCUUCAAUCUCGACCCCACCCUGCAAGCUUCAAGGCUUCUGCAAUGGCUACCACAACUGGCUUAGUGAGGCCUCUGGAACGGGUGGUGGGCUUCUACUAUGGAUUUCUACUAUCCUGGCAAGUUUGCUUGUCCAAGGACUGGCCUGUUAAAUGGAUGGGCUCUGGAGCUGUGGUGUUCACACAGGAGGUUCACAGUACCAUGAUCCUCGUUAAGUACAUUAUCUUUCAGGACUUCUGAGAUGAUCUCCUGGUAGUCCCUGGAGAAGAACUGCAUGGCGGUUGCCAACCUCCCCGUACUUGUGGGGUCCAGGCUCAGCAGUUGCAGGAUGGAUGAGCAGGAAGGCUUCCAGGUUGCGAGGUUCCGUUAUCCUCCUCGCUGCUGCUUCUCAGAAGCACAGACAGUUUCACAUAGUCCCGGCUCUAGGCUGACCUGA